GCUAAGGUAGAUCAAUGGUAGAUCGCAUCUUGGACGUAUCCACUCAGAGGGAAUGUUCAGGAUGAGACCAUGGUUCGAAUCCAUGUCAUGGCA